rnacentral:rRNA from 1 species
AACGCGAAGAACCUUACCGACCUUUACACGCCUCUAAAGAAGCAGAAGAGCAUUAGGUGCCCGAAAGAGAAAGUGGACACAGGUGGUGCAUGGGUGUUGUCAGCUUGUGUUGUGAGAUGUUGGGUUAAGUCCCGCAACGAGCGCAACCCUUCCCUAUUAUUGCCAUCAUUCAGUUGGGCACUUUAGGGGGACUGCCGGUGACAAACCGGAGGAAGGUGGGGAUGACGUCAAGUCCUCAUGGCCCUUAUGGCCAGGGCUUCACACGUAAUACAAUGGUCGGUACAGAGGGUAGCCAACCCGCGAGGGGGAGCCAAUCUCAGAAAGCCGAUCCCAGUCCGGAUUGCAGUCUGCAACUCGACUGCAUGAAGUCGGAAUCGCUAGUAAUCGCGAAUCAGCAUUGCCCGGGUAAAUCCUUCCCGGGUCUUGUACACACCG